rnacentral:rRNA from 1 species
CAGCCGCCGCGGGAAUACGAAGGGUGCAAGCGUUAAUCGGAAUUACUGGGCGUAAAGCGUGCGUAGGCGGUUUGUUAAGUCUGUUGUGAAAUCACCGGGCUCAACCUGGGAAUGGCAAUGGAUACUGGCAAGCUAGAGUGUGUUAGAGGAUGGUGGAAUUCCCGGUGUAGCGGUGAAAUGCGUAGAGAUCGGGAGGAACAUCAGUGGCGAAGGCGGCCAUCUGGGACAACACUGACGCUGAGGCACGAAAGCGUGGGGAGCAAACAGGAUUAGAUACCCGUGUAGUCCCUGUCUCUUAUAC